CCCAAGAACUUGAGAACCCUUGCUCCUUGCCCGCGAAAUAGCAGAUCAGGCAAUUCCUGAUUACUACGCUGCGAGUGUCGGGUUACAUAUGUCAACUCUUUGAUUUUGAGCUGCACUACUCCGUACACUGUAUGGAAUCGCAAAACCAACGGCUUGAAGUGGGUAAUCAAUCAGUGCGCCCUCAUCAUGGAGUACGCUGGCCUGCUCAUCUUCAGGGUUCCUCAUUUGAGGCGAUAAAUUUAGAUCUUUGCUUUGGUCGGGGCAUUUAUGCGGCCCGGUGACUCGGAAUAUUUCGAAAUUCAGUAACGGAGAUUUGUACGGAGGACUGCAACAGCUACUCCGUAGUCCUUGCUAUAAUGUCAAUAUCCCCUACAGAGUACAGCGUAAGUUCACCUCACUAGCCUAUAUCCUUAGGUGCUCUCUAGCUGCAUUCCCCCCCCUGCGUAUUCGUAACUGAGAGACUCCGCUAUAUCAUUCUGGAUCUAGCCCUCAAGGGGGUCCUUGCCUCAGAUCAUAUAAUACAAGCAGCCCCUCGUCACUUGAACUACGGCAUAGACAUGUACGCAGCAUAAGAAUCACAAUACC
rnacentral:sRNA from 1 species